rnacentral:rRNA from 1 species
CCUACGGGAGGCAGCAGUGGGGGAUAUUGCACAAUGGGGGGAACCCUGAUGCAGCGACGCCGCGUGGGUGAAGAAGCGCCUCGGCGCGUAAAGCCCUGUCAGCAGGGAAGAAAAUGACGGUACCUGAAGAAGAAGCCCCGGCUAACUACGUGCCAGCCGCCGCGGUAAUACGUAGGGGGCAAGCGUUAUCCGGAUUGACUGGGUAGAAAGGGGGCGCAGACGGCGAUGCAAGCCAGGAGUGAAAGCCCGGGGCCCAACCCCGGGACUGCUCGUGGAACUGCGUGGCUGGAGUGCAGGAGGGGCAGGCGGAAUUCCUGGUGUAGCGGUGAAAUGCGUAGAUAUCAGGAGGAACACCGGUGGCGAAGGCGGCCUGCUGGACUGCAACUGACGUUGAGGCCCGAAAGCGUGGGGAGCAAACAGGAUUAGAUACCCUGGUAGUC